rnacentral:rRNA from 1 species
UACGAGGGGGGCGAGCGUUGUUCGGAAUUAUUGGGCGUAAAGGGCGCGUAGGCGGUCGGAUAAGUCUUGUGUGAAAUCUUCGGGCUCAACUCGAAGUCUGCACAGGAAACUAUCUGGCUUGAGUGUGGGAGAGGUGAGUGGAAUUCCUGGUGUAGCGGUGAAAUGCGUAGAUAUCAGGAGGAACACCUGUGGCGAAAGCGGCUCACUGGACACGUAUUGACGCUGAGGUGCGAAAGCGUGGGGAGCAAACAGG